CACAAUCCUUGUGUCUCCGAAUGAGACUUUGACGCAAUAUAAUAUUCAUGGGCUCGGUUUAGUCACUGGCGGGAUGUUGUAAUUGCACACUUACGGAACUUCUCAUUUGACGGUGUAGACCGCGUUCCGUAGCUGCAUGUCCUUUUCAUUGUUCCUGAGUUCAACCAGCACGAAUCGUCAAUCGAGACUGUGUUAGCCAUUGUUUUAUAUUCUGAUCGGCCGUAUAAUGUCUCACGAACACUAAAGGCCAGUUUUCCAGUGCACGGCUUUGGUUUAAACUUAAAUUAACCGCUAGAGCUAGUCAAUUCAAACGCAGUUUACGUGAUCCUAAGUUUAAACUUGCACUGAAAAACUAACCCUAAAAGUGCAGCAUCAAAGAAUUCGCCUAACCAUAUUAGAAGCAAUCGCCAUAACCGCGAAAGAAAAUACCGCAAAGAAUUUACAAGGCAAAAAAACAAUAGAAAAACAGCUCAAAUUGGACCAUCCCUUCUCAAGAUAUACGCCGCCUGACGUACGCACAUAUAUGUAUUUGCAUACAAAUAUUUAUUUUUAGUAACAAUCAGAGUUUAUAUUAGAUGUAAAUAAGCUGGUUUUAAUUAAAUAAUUAAAGCAAAUACUACCGUA